GUGAAGAACGCAGCGAAAUGCGAUACGUAAUGUGAAUUGCAGAAUUCAGUGAAUCAUCGAAUCUUUGAACGCACAUUGCGCCCGCUAGUAUUCUGGCGGGCAUGCCUGUCCGAGCGUCAUUUCAACCCAUCAAGCUUAGCGCUUGUGUUGGAGCCCUGCGGCCGCCGCAGCCUCCUAAAAUCAGUGGCGGGCUCGCUAUCACGCUGAGUGCAGUAGUAUUCUUCUCACUCCUGUGGUGUAGCGGGUAACCAGCCGUAAACCCCCCCAUCUAUAAAGGUUGACCUCGGAUCAGGUAGGAAUACCCGCUGAACUUAAGCAUAUCAUAAGCGGAGGA
rnacentral:misc_RNA from 1 species